rnacentral:rRNA from 1 species
UGGCGUAAACAGAGGGAAGCGAGCCUGCGAGGGGGAGCGAAUCCCAAAAAUAACGUCCCAGUUCGGAUUGUAGUCUGCAACCCGACUACAUGAAGCUGGAAUCGCUAGUAAUCGCGGAUCAGAAUGCCGCGGUGAAUACGUUCCCGGGUCUUGUACACACCGCCCGUCACACCAUGGGAGUCGGAAAUGCCCGAAGUCUGUGACCCAACCUUAGGGAGGGAGCAGCCGAAGGCAGGUCGGAGGACUGGGGUGAAGUCGUAACAAGGUAAC